CAACGGCUAUCCUAAUUUGAAAUCCACCUGUCGCCUUUUUCUCCAGUGAAUUCAUCCUCGCACAACACUGAGAUGAAGGCAAAGUCACCAUGAAAAGUUAAACGUUUAACGUUAAGCCACAGCAAUUGAUGUUGAAAAAGUGAUGCUACCAAUCUCUCCUCUCUUGAUUAUUCAAGGUAAUGUUGAUGUCUUCCUCAUUUUGAAAUGUCAAGUUGUUCACAGAUUUGUUGUGAGGAGUUUCAUGUACAACCUCUUUUUCUUCUUCCAGUAG
ensembl:processed_transcript